UACGUAGGGUGCAAGCGUUGUCCGGAAUUAUUGGGCGUAAAGAGCUCGUAGGCGGUUUGUCGCGUCGGCUGUGAAAACCUGGGGCUCAACCCCGGGCCUGCAGCCGAUACGGGCAAACUAGAAUUCAGUAGGGGAGACUGGAAUUCCUGGUGUAGCGGUGAAAUGCGCAGAUAUCAGGAGGAACACCGGUGGCGAAGGCGGGUCUCUGGGCCGAUAUUGACGCUGAGGAGCGAAAGCGUGGGGAGCAAACAGG
rnacentral:rRNA from 1 species